rfam:Stegodyphus mimosarum contig82406, whole genome shotgun sequence.
GCCUUCGUGGUGUAGUGGUCAGCACGCUCGACUCGUACCCGAGAGGACCGUGGUUCGAUUCCCGGCGAAGGUG